rnacentral:rRNA from 1 species
GAUGAACGCUGGCGGCGUGCCUAAUACAUGCAAGUCGAGCGAACGGACUAGAAGCUUGCUUCUCUGAUGUUAGCGGCGGACGGGUGAGUAACAAGUGGAUAACCUACCUAUAAAACUGGGAUAACUUCGGGAAACCGUAGCUAAUACCUGAUAAUAUUUUGAACCGCAUGGUUCAAAAGUGAAAGACGGUCUUGCUGUCACUUAUAGAUGGAUCCCCGCUGCAUUAGCUAGUUGGUAAGGUAACGGCUUACCAAGGCAACGAUGCAUAGCCGACCUGAGAGGGUGACAGACCACCUUGGAACUGACACACGGUCCAGACUCCUACGGCAGGCAGCAGCAGGGAAUUUUCAGCAAUGGGCGCAAGCCUGACGGAGCCCCGCCGCGUGCGUCAUGAAGGUCUUCGGCUCGUAACACUCUGUUAUUAGGGACGAACAUAUGUGUACGUACCUGUGCCCAUCUUGACGGCACCUAAUCAGAAAGCCACGGCUAACUACGUG